rnacentral:lncRNA from 13 species
CAUUUCACUGUAAGGUAUUGUAAGGUACCUGUUGUAUUCGGCGCACGCGUCAAAUAAACUUUGAUUUGAUUUGAAAUGGCAUUUCAUUACUCUCAAUCAUGAUAUUACUGUAUGUCAGUGAGAAUGGUCCAGUGGCAUGGACAAUCGUCUCAUAAAGUGGAAAGCCCCUGUAGACAUUCACCAGUGCUCACCGUUGUAUCAACAUUAUGAUAUCAGAUCAGUGCAGAUGAGGAGAGCAAGCUGUUUUAGAGUAUGGACUUUUUGAAAUAGAGAAGCAGAGAACUCAGCUUCGCGGAAGUCACAGGUGAACCUUGCUGCUGUGCAAUUAAAAUAACAACCAAAGAGGUAGUGCUGAAUUUCCCCAAACUUCUUUGCAGCUUCUAUUUAUUACAGCUGGUGGUCUGUCUUGGUGAGGCAAAGUGUUCCGUUCACAAGCUGGAGACAGGCAUCCAAGGGUAAGCACCCAUUCUAUAGAUGUUCAACUUCUUUCUUAAGAGAAAUUCUGAAUGUGUGAUUUAACCCUUGGCAAAGCCUGGCACAGAGGCUUCUUCUACACACUCUGAAGAAGGCAUAGCAGCCAAAACACGUACGUAUGUGCUUUUAAUGAUCCUUGUGGACAUGACAAGAUCAUUAAGGCAUUAACUUACCUAAAAAAUGAGGAGUGACAUAGUAUUUCUUCAAAUAUGAACAUUUUAUCACGAGUCAUCCAAAGACUACCUUCAAAAUGUUUUGUACACCUGUUUUCACCCAGGCAGCACCUGCCGCCUCUAAUUCUAUGAUCGAUUUGUUGUGCCAUAAACUGAAACUUGGAACUAAGUGUGCUUUUUUUCUUAUUCUGUGGAUGUCAGGAAGUCAAUGCCAUGGUUCUGGAGAUUGUGUGGAGACUAUUGUCACCAGUGCAGUGGAGCCUGUGUCUUCUAUCCCUUCUGCUUCCCAUAGUAUCAAUGAUAUGUGCGAUCCGUUCAAAAAGGUAAUACUUCUUCCUGUAUUAUGGCCCUUUAUGAGCAUUUUUUUUAAGGUAUUGCUGACAUCCUGUCUGCAUUCUUCCAUUAGUAGAAAGACUUCCAGGUUGUCAUUGGCUGAAAUGGGACCGAUCUCUGGUGAAAGGCCCCCAGAUUCAACUGAGGCCAAGACCUCAGAACUAAGGAAGAAUAUCAUUGGACCAGCAUCCUCAAAAAGAAAGUCAACCCAGUCCCAAAGAGGGCACAGAGGGUCUUUCCCAGGGCAGAACACCCCAAGGCCGGUGAAGAAGGCUUUGAGGCAGUUGCCUCCCUUACCUGAGCUGGAGAAGAGCAGUGUCCGAAGACACAGCAGCUACACUGGGUCCGUAGUGUAUGACGUUGUCGCCACAGAGGUUUGUAAUCCAUGGCCCACUACAGACAACCAGGCUUCUCAACAACAGACAGCAGACGGCAGCAACCACCUGGAGGAGGUAGAUGAAAAGGGGGAAGUUCCGUUCCCUGUCUAUGCCAAAGUCAACAAAACCAAAGUUUGCUCGAACUCAUCAAGACGUUCACCACUGUAUGCCAAAGUGAACAAGACUAGCUCCCGGACUGUGAAAUCUUAA